CCUACGGGCGGCAGCAGUGGGGAAUAUUGGACAAUGGGGGCAACCCUGAUCCAGCCAUGCCGCGUGUGUGAAGAAGGCCCUCGGGUUGUAAAGCACUUUCAGUGAGGAAGAACGCCUGGUGGUUAAUACCCAUCAGGAAAGACAUCACUCACAGAAGAAGCACCGGCUAACUCCGUGCCAGCAGCCGCGGUAAUACGGAGGGUGCGAGCGUUAAUCGGAAUUACUGGGCGUAAAGCGCGCGUAGGUGGCUUGAUAAGCCGGUUGUGAAAGCCCCGGGCUCAACCUAGGAACGGCAUCCGGAACUGUCAAGCUAGAGUGCAGGAGAGGAAGGUAGAAUUCCCGGUGUAGCGGUGAAAUGCGUAGAGAUCGGGAGGAAUACCAGUGGCGAAGGCGGCCUUCUGGACUGACACUGACACUGAGGUGCGAAAGCGUGGGUAGCAAACAGGAUUAGAUACCCUAGUAGUC
rnacentral:rRNA from 1 species